rnacentral:rRNA from 1 species
GGGGUGAGGGGGACGGCCUAGACGUGCAGUCGAGCGGUAGAGAGGUGCUUGCACCUCUUGAGAGCGGCGGACGGGUGAGUAAUGCCUAGGAAUCUGCCUGGUAGUGGGGGAUAACGCUCGGAAACGGACGCUAAUACCGCAUACGUCCUACGGGAGAAAGCAGGGGACCUUCGGGCCUUGCGCUAUCAGAUGAGCCUAGGUCGGAUUAGCUAGUUGGUGGGGUAAUGGCUCACCAAGGCGACGAUCCGUAACUGGUCUGAGAGGAUGAUCAGUCACACUGGAACUGAGACACGGUCCAGACUCCUACGGGAGGCAGCAGUGGGGAAUAUUGGACAAUGGGCGAAAGCCUGAUCCAGCCAUGCCGCGUGUGUGAAGAAGGUCUUCGGAUUGUAAAGCACUUUAAGUUGGGAGGAAGGGCAUUAACCUAAUACGUUAGUGUUUUGACGUUACCGACAGAAUAAGCACCGGCUAACUCUGUGCCAGCAGCCGCGGUAAUACAGAGGGUGCAAGCGUUAAUCGGAAUUACUGGGCGUAAAGCGCGCGUAGGUGGUUCGUUAAGUUGGAUGUGAAAGCCCCGGGCUCAACCUGGGAACUGCAUUCAAAACUGUCGAGCUAGAGUAUGGUAGAGGGUGGUGGAAUUUCCUGUGUAGCGGUGAAAUGCGUAGAUAUAGGAAGGAACACCAGUGGCGAAGGCGACCACCUGGACUGAUACUGACACUGAGGUGCGAAAGCGUGGGGGAGCAAACAGGAUUAGAUACCCUGGUAGUCCACGCCGUAAACGAUGUCAACUAGCCGUUGGGAGCCUUGAGCUCUUAGUGGCGCAGCUAACGCAUUAAGUUGACCGCCUGGGGAGUACGGCCGCAAGGUUAAAACUCAAAUGAAUUGACGGGGGCCCGCACAAGCGGUGGAGCAUGUGGUUUAAUUCGAAGCAACGCGAAGAACCUUACCAGGGCCUUGACAUCCAAUGAACUUUCCAGAGAUGG